GGUACAUCUCGCCUCGUUCCUCGACUACCAGGCACGAUGCCAGAGAGACUGGUUUGAGCAGGCCAAGGCCAAGGAAAGGGACCAGAAGAAAGCUCUGGCUCUGGAGGAACACAUCAGCAACGCGGAAACAGGGAAGAGACGCUGCAAGGGGAGCAGGGGCCACCCAUACUGAGUGUGCCUAGGAAGCAGCUGUAACAUGCAGAAGAACGCGUCUGGAGGAAAAGCAAAGAUGCUGAAUGAGUUGAAUAAAAAGUCUUCCUUCAUUCAAAACUAUCCAUAAACUGCAUGUUAAACAAAUUUUAACCAUGUUUGCUACACAUUGGACGGUGCCGUGUUCACAGGCCAAACAUACGAGAACGUAGACCGAGUGCUGAUAAGUCAUGGUCCAUUUGGGUUGAAAUGUUCCUAAUUAUUAAUUGCAGAAUGUUGGUGAAA